GACGAACGCUGGCGGCGUGCUUAACACAUGCCAGUCGAACGGAAAGGCCCUGCUUUUGUGGGGUGCUCGAGUGGCGAACGGGUGAGUAACACGUGAGUAACCUGCCCUUGACUUUGGGAUAACUUCAGGAAACUGGGGCUAAUACCGGAUAGGAGCUCCUGCUGCAUGGUGGGGGUUGGAAAGUUUCGGCGGUUGGGGAUGGUCUCGCGGCUUAUCCGCUUGUUGGUGGGGUAGUGGCUUACCAAGGCUUUGACGGGUAGCCGGCCUGGGAGGGGUACCGGCCACAUUGGGCCUGGGAUACGGCCCAGACUCCUACGGGAGGCAGCAGUGGGGAAUAUUGCACAAUGGGCGGAAGCCUGAUGCAGCAACGCCGCGUGCGGGAUGACGGCCUUCGGGUUGUAAACCGCUUUCGCCUGUGACGAAGCGUGAGUGACGGUAAUGGGUAAAGAAGCACCGGCUAACUACGUG
rnacentral:rRNA from 1 species